rnacentral:rRNA from 1 species
UAUGUGAUCGUCUCUCGCAUAUCAAUAAGCGGAGGAAAAAGAAACUAACGAGGAUUCCCCUAGUAACGGCGAGUGAAGCGGGAAGAGCUCAAAUUUGAAAUCUUAAAGGGUUUCCCUUUACGAAUUGUAGUUUAAAGAAGUGUUUUCUGUUGAGGUUUUGGUAAAAGUUCUUUGGAAUAGGACAUCAUAGAGGGUGAGAAUCCCGUAUUUGACCUUUACUUUCAACUUUGUGAUACACUUUCAAAGAGUCGGAUUGUUUGGGAAUGCAGUCCAAAAUGGGUGGUAAAUUUCAUCUAAAGCUAAAUAUUGGCGAGAGACCGAUAGCGAACAAGUACCGUGAGGGAAAGAUGAAAAGAACUUUGAAAAGAGAGUUAAACAGUACGUGAAAUUGUCAAAAGGGAAGCGUUUGACACCAGUGUUGUUUUUCUGAAAAUCAAUUAAAGAACUGUUUAUGCUAAGCUGUUUAGACUUUAUCAGCUAAUCUGUUUAGUUUUGAGCUUUUCUUUAAUGCACUUUUCAGUUAACAAGUCAACAUCAAUUUCUUUUGCUGUAAAAAAGCUUGAGGAAGGUGGCUUGAGAUUCGUCUUAAGUGUUUAUAGCCUCUUGCCUAUGCAGUCGGAGAGAUUGAGGUCUGCAGCGUAGAUCCUUCGGGGCUAAAUGCAUUUGUGCUAAGUUAUAGCAUUUUAUAGACAACUUGUUGACUAUGAUUUGUCUUGUAGCUUACUCGCUUAUGUUAUUUUACCUACGCUUAGGAUGUUGAUCUGUAGUGCGUGCGC